rnacentral:tRNA from 2 species
GCUUCUGUGGUGAAAUGGAUAUCACGCGACGCUUCGGACGUCGUAUUGCGGGUUCAAAUCCUGCCAGGAGCACAA